rnacentral:rRNA from 1 species
UAGCGGCGAGCGAAACGGCAGGAGGGCAAACCGAAGAGUUUACUCUUCGGGGUUGUAGGACUGCAAUGUGGACUCAAAGAUUAUAGAAGAAUGAUUUGGGAAGAUCAGCCAAAGAGAGUAAUAGCCUCGUAUUUAAAAUAGUCUUUGUACCUAGCAGUAUCCUGAGUACGGCGGGACACGUGAAAUCCCGUCGGAAUCUGGGAGGACCAUCUCCCAACCCUAAAUACUCCCUAGUGACCGAUAGUGAACCAGUACCGUGAGGGAAAGGUGAAAAGCACCCCGGGAGGGGAGUGAAAUAGAACCUGAAACCGUGUGCCUACAACAAGUUCGAGCCCGUUAAUGGGUGAGAGCGUGCCUUUUGUAGAAUGAACCGGCGAGUUACGUUAUGAUGCGAGGUUAAGUUGAAGAGACGGAGCCGUAGGGAAACCGAGUCUGAAUAGGGCGCCUUAGUAUCAUGACGUAGACCCGAAACCAUGUGACCUACCCAUGAGCAGGUUGAAGGUGCGGUAAGACGCACUGGAGGACCGAACCAGGGCACGUUGAAAAGUGCUUGGAUGACUUGUGGGUAGCGGAGAAAUUCCAAACGAACUUGGAGAUAGCUGGUUCUCUCCGAAAUAGCUUUAGGGCUAGCGUCGACAUUAGAGAUUCUUGGAGGUAGAGCACUGUUUGGGUGAGGGGUCCAUCCCGGAUUACCAAUCUCAGAUAAACUCCGAAUGCCAAUGAAUUAUGGUCGGCAGUCAGACUGCGAGUGCUAAGAUCCGUAGUCGAAAGGGAAACAGCCCAGACCACCAGCUAAGGUCCCAAAAUAAUUGUUAAGUGGAAAAGGAUGUGGGGUUGCACAGACAACUAGGAUGUUAGCUUAGAAGCAGCUAUUCAUUCAAAGAGUGCGUAAUAGCUCACUAGUCGAGUGACCCUGCGCCGAAAAUGUACCGGGGCUAAAACAAUUUACCGAAGCUGUGGAUACCUUUAUAGGUAUGGUAGGAGAGCGUUCUAUGUGUGAUGAAGGUAUACCGUGAGGAGUGCUGGAACGCAUAGAAGUGAGAAUGCCGGUAUGAGUAGCGAAAGACAGGUGAGAAUCCUGUCCACCGUAAGACUAAGGUUUCCAGGGGAAGGCUCGUCCGCCCUGGGUUAGUCGGGACCUAAGGAGAGACCGAAAGGUGUAUCCGAUGGACAACAGGUUGAUAUUCCUGUACUAGAGUAUGUAGUGAUGGAGGGACGCAGUAGGCUAACUAAAGCAGACGAUUGGAAGAGUCUGUCUAAGCAGUGAGGUGUGAAUUGAGUCAAAUGCUUAAUUCUAUAACAUUGAGCUGUGAUGGGGAGCGAAGUUUAGUAGCGAAGUUAGUGACGUCACACUGCCAAGAAAAGCUUCUAGCGUUUAAACAUACUCUACCCGUACCGCAAACCGACACAGGUAGUCGAGGCGAGUAGCCUCAGGUGAGCGAGAGAACUCUCGUUAAGGAACUCGGCAAAAUGACCCCGUAACUUCGGGAGAAGGGGUGCUGACUUAAAGUCAGCCGCAGUGAAUAGGCCCAAGCAACUGUUUAUCAAAAACACAGCUCUCUGCUAAAUCGUAAGAUGAUGUAUAGGGGGUGACGCCUGCCCGGUGCUGGAAGGUUAAGAGGAGUGCUUAGCGUAAGCGAAGGUAUGAAUUGAAGCCCCAGUAAACGGCGGCCGUAACUAUAACGGUCCUAAGGUAGCGAAAUUCCUUGUCGGGUAAGUUCCGACCCGCACGAAAGGCGUAAUGAUUUGGGCACUGUCUCAACGAGAGACUCGGUGAAAUUUUAGUACCUGUGAAGAUGCAGGUUACCCGCGACAGGACGGAAAGACCCCAUGGAGCUUUACUGCAGUUUGAUAUUGAGUGUCUGUACCACAUGUACAGGAUAGGUAGGAGUCUAAGAGAUCGGGACGCCAGUUUCGAAGGAGACGCUGUUGGGAUACUACCCUUGUGUUAUGGCCACUCUAACCCAGAUAGGUGAUCCCUAUCGGAGACAGUGUCUGACGGGCAGUUUGACUGGGGCGGUCGCCUCCUAAAAGGUAACGGAGGCGCCCAAAGGUUCCCUCAGAAUGGUUGGAAAUCAUUCGCAGAGUGUAAAGGUAUAAGGGAGCUUGACUGCGAGAGCUACAACUCGAGCAGGGACGAAAGUCGGGCUUAGUGAUCCGGUGGUUCCGUAUGGAAGGGCCAUCGCUCAACGGAUAAAAGCUACCCUGGGGAUAACAGGCUUAUCUCCCCCAAGAGUUCACAUCGACGGGGAGGUUUGGCACCUCGAUGUCGGCUCGUCGCAUCCUGGGGCUGUAGUCGGUCCCAAGGGUUGGGCUGUUCGCCCAUUAAAGCGGCACGCGAGCUGGGUUCAGAACGUCGUGAGACAGUUCGGUCCCUAUCCGUCGCGGGCGUAGGAAAUUUGAGAGGAUCUGCUCCUAGUACGAGAGGACCAGAGUGGACUUACCGCUGGUGUACCAGUUGUCUUGCCAAAGGCAUCGCUGGGUAGCUAUGUAGGGAAGGGAUAAACGCUGAAAGCAUCUAAGUGUGAAACCCACCUCAAGAUGAGAUUUCCCAUGAUUAUAUAUCAGUAAGAGCCCUGAGAGAUGAUCAGGUAGAUAGGUUAGAAGUGGAAGUGUGGCGACACAUGUAGCGGACUAAUACUAAUAGCUCGAGGACUUAUCCAA